rnacentral:rRNA from 1 species
UAAGAGUUUGAUCCUGGCUCAGAUUGAACGCUGGCGGCAUGCUUUACACAUGCAAGUCGGACGGCAGCACAGGGAAGCUUGCUUCUCGGGUGGCGAGUGGCGAACGGGUGAGUAACAUAUCGGAACGUACCGGGUAGCGGGGGAUAACUGAUCGAAAGAUCAGCUAAUACCGCAUACGUCUUGAGAGGGAAAGCAGGGGACCUUCGGGCCUUGCGCUAUCCGAGCGGCCGAUAUCUGAUUAGCUGGUUGGCGGGGUAAAGGCCCACCAAGGCGACGAUCAGUAGCGGGUCUGAGAGGAUGAUCCGCCACACUGGGACUGAGACACGGCCCAGACUCCUACGGGAGGCAGCAGUGGGGAAUUUUGGACAAUGGGCGCAAGCCUGAUCCAGCCAUGCCGCGUGUCUGAAGAAGGCCUUCGGGUUGUAAAGGACUUUUGUCAGGGAAGAAAAGGCUGUUGCCAAUAUCGGCGGCCGAUGACGGUACCUGAAGAAUAAGCACCGGCUAACUACGUGCCAGCAGCCGCGGUAAUACGUAGGGUGCGAGCGUUAAUCGGAAUUACUGGGCGUAAAGCGGGCGCAGACGGUUACUUAAGCAGGAUGUGAAAUCCCCGGGCUCAACCCGGGAACUGCGUUCUGAACUGGGUGACUCGAGUGUGUCAGAGGGAGGUGGAAUUCCACGUGUAGCAGUGAAAUGCGUAGAGAUGUGGAGGAAUACCGAUGGCGAAGGCAGCCUCCUGGGAUAACACUGACGUUCAUGUCCGAAAGCGUGGGUAGCAAACAGGAUUAGAUACCCUGGUAGUCCACGCCCUAAACGAUGUCAAUUAGCUGUUGGGCAACUUGAUUGCUUGGUAGCGUAGCUAACGCGUGAAAUUGACCGCCUGGGGAGUACGGUCGCAAGAUUAAAACUCAAAGGAAUUGACGGGGACCCGCACAAGCGGUGGAUGAUGUGGAUUAAUUCGAUGCAACGCGAAGAACCUUACCUGGUUUUGACAUGUGCGGAAUCCUCCGGAGACGGAGGAGUGCCUUCGGGAGCCGUAACACAGGUGCUGCAUGGCUGUCGUCAGCUCGUGUCGUGAGAUGUUGGGUUAAGUCCCGCAACGAGCGCAACCCUUGUCAUUAGUUGCCAUCAUUCGGUUGGGCACUCUAAUGAGACUGCCGGUGACAAGCCGGAGGAAGGUGGGGAUGACGUCAAGUCCUCAUGGCCCUUAUGACCAGGGCUUCACACGUCAUACAAUGGUCGGUACAGAGGGUAGCCAAGCCGCGAGGCGGAGCCAAUCUCACAAAACCGAUCGUAGUCCGGAUUGCACUCUGCAACUCGAGUGCAUGAAGUCGGAAUCGCUAGUAAUCGCAGGUCAGCAUACUGCGGUGAAUACGUUCCCGGGUCUUGUACACACCGCCCGUCACACCAUGGGAGUGGGGGAUACCAGAAGUAGGUAGGGUAACCGCAAGGAGCCCGCUUACCACGGUAUGCUUCAUGACUGGGGUGAAGUCGUAACAAGGUAGCCGUAGGGGAACCUGCGGCUGGAUCACCUCCUUU